rnacentral:SRP_RNA from 1 species
AGCUAGGCCCCAUGCAACGGGUGCCGACGAACCCCGCCAGGUCCGGAAGGAAGCAACGGCAGUCUGGUUCCCCGUGUGCCGUGGUCAGCCUAGCCCCU